rnacentral:rRNA from 1 species
AACCUGCAGAAGGAUCAUU